AUACGGAGGGUGCAAGCGUUAAUCGGAAUUACUGGGCGUAAAGCGCGCGUAGGCGGUUUAGUCAGUCAGAUGUGAAAGCCCCGGGCUCAACCUGGGAACUGCAUUUGAUACUGCUGAACUAGAGUAUGGUAGAGGGAAGUGGAAUUCCGGGUGUAGCGGUGAAAUGCGUAGAUAUCCGGAGGAACACCAGUGGCGAAGGCGACUUCCUGGACCAAUACUGACGCUGAGGUGCGAAGGCGUGGGGAGCAAACAGGAUUAGAAACCCCAGUAGUCC
rnacentral:rRNA from 1 species